UAACCUUCAAUGAGGUCCAAUUUAAAAUUUAUGGUCUAACCUGAAUGACCUGUUUGACAGACCUGGUUAUAUUUAAGAUUCACAACACCAAAUUUAAUGUUUUGAAUCACAAAACUAUUUGAAAUCCAUUUCUUAAUGAUUUCUACCAUUUAUUAUCAACAUAACAUGUAAAAAUGACUAAGUUUAUAAAACAAAAUUCAGGUAUUUUUGUAUAUAUCAUAGAGUACAAACCACAUCAAGGCAAAGGUAUAAUUGGCUCUAAUACCAAUUGUAAGUAAACUUAAACAUGAUCUUUAUAUGUAAAAACAACACAACAUGCACAUAAGAUCAAGAGUGGAAAUUUAAAAUUGAACUUCCAACUAUUGAUAUAUUUUGCAGCCUGAUAUUUGAUUCUUCUAAGCCUCUUGUAAUCUCUCUAUGAUAGUGUAUUAUAUGAAUAAAAUUACAUAGUCUUAGAGACUAAUACCAUUUUUCACCAUUUUAAUUUAUAUUUCAUCUUUCCAUCAAAGAUGAAGAGGUGUGAAGUUAUCAAAGUAGCUAUUAGAUGGAAGUUGCUUCCAUAAACCAUGGCAAAUUUUUGCUUGAGGAAAUGUUAAACCACAUGCUAGAAACAUACUUGCAAGACACUUUUUCAAUAGCCACACGUUCAACAGUAUAUUAAUUUAUAUUUUUCUUUCACCUUGCAGAGCUGGCUUACACAAUGAAGGUCAAUGAAAAAUGUGACAUGUACAGCUUUAGAGAGAUAGCACUGGAAGUAAUGCAGGAAAGCAUCCAAGAAAUUUUGUUUUAACAAUCUUCUCUUCAUCCUCCGACAAGAACAUAGCCCUUAAGGAAAUCUUGGAUCUUUGGCUUCCAAAUCGAACAUGUUGGAACAUUUUUCAAAAUAAAUAGUGUAUUAUUAUAAAAACAUGUCUAUUUAAUUACGUCUUAUAGAAGAGUUAUCUUUCAACUUAAUGAUACAUCCUUUCAUUGAGACAUUUUAUUUAAAGAUGCAUCAUUUCAUAGUGACAUUUCAUUUGAAAUUUGGACCAUUGAUUAAAAUUAAAUCUUGAUCAAAUGGCCAUGAAUGAAGAUGUAUCAUGAAAGAUAACAACCCAAAUGGAAGGGCACAAGUAUGUCUAUAAAUAUAAACCAUGUUUAGGCCGUUUAAAUAUGAAAAUAAUGAUCUCACAUCACUCUUUUCUCAACCCUCCUUUCUAAAAAGAAUUUUGGUAACACUCCACUUUUAAA
rnacentral:lncRNA from 1 species